CCUACGGGUGGCUGCAGUAAGGAAUAUUGGUCAAUGGAGGAAACUCUGAACCAGCCAUCCCGCGUGAAGGAUGAAGGGGCUCUGCCUUGUAAACUUCUUUUGUCUGGGGCGAAAAAGCUCGAUUUAUCGAGAACUGACGGUACCAGAAGAAUAAGCACCGGCUAACUCCGUGCCAGCAGCCGCGGUAAUACUGAGGGUGCCAGCGUUAUCCGGAAUAACUGGGUUUAAGGCGGCUUUAUACGUCAGUGGUGAAGGGCUGUGGCUUAACCAUGGAAUUGCCAUUGAUACUGCAGAGCUUGAAUGAGGUUGAGGUUGGCGGAAUGUGACAUGUAGCGGUGAAAUGCUUAGGUAUGUCAUGGAACACCGAUUGCGAAGGCAGCUGACUGGACCUAUAUUGACGCUGAGGCACGAAAGCGUGGGGAGCGAACAGGAUUAGAUACCCUUGUAGUC
rnacentral:rRNA from 1 species